rnacentral:rRNA from 1 species
GACGAACGCUGGCGGCGUGCUUAACACAUGCAAGUCGAACGGAAAGGCCCUGCUUGCAGGGUGCUCGAGUGGCGAACGGGUGAGUAACACGUGGGUGAUCUGCCCCUUACUUUGGGAUAAGCCUGGGAAACUGGGUCUAAUACUGGAUAGGACCAUGCUGUAGGUGGUGUGGUGGAAAGAUUAGUUUCGGUAAGGGAUGAGCUCGCGGCCUAUCAGCUUGUUGGUGGGGUAAUGGCCUACCAAGGCGUCGACGGGUAGCCGGCCUGAGAGGGUGGACGGCCACAUUGGGACUGAGAUACGGCCCAGACUCCUACGGGAGGCAGCAGUGGGGAAUAUUGCACAAUGGGCGCAAGCCUGAUGCAGCGACGCCGCGUGGGGGAUGACGGCCUUCGGGUUGUAAACUCCUUUCAGCCAUGACGAAGCCCUUGUGGUGACGGUAGUGGUAGAUGAAGCACCGGCUAACUACGUG